GACAAAAGGACCCUUUCAUUAGUUUUUUUUUUUCCCCCAGCCACUGUAUUUGGAGUAAUUUUCUUUUAUUUAGUUUUUACCUCCUUCCUGGAUGCUGUAAACUGGAUAAUAAGAAGACCAAAUAAAGUUUGCCUGGAUGAUAGGGCAGUGAGCAAAUAGCGCUUUACUGGAUCCCAUAUGAUUGAAAAUAGAAGAAUUCCUCAGAGUCUGAGGAAUCUGAGGAUCUCAGAAUUCCUCAGAUCUGACCAACUUCUGCUGUGUGAUAUAGCAGUUUUCCCACCCUGUACAUAAGGAUUUGUGUAUGUCCAUAUGCACGUAAAACACUGUUGCACUCGCAAGCUUGAGUAAGUGAACACUUUCAGAUGCUGAAUACACCUGAAUAGUGAGAAAGAAAAGGGUUAUUUGCUCUUCUCCACAUGGACUGCUUUGGCCUUAAUAGUGAGUGCACUCCUCCCAUCCACAGGAGGGUGGGGGAACAAGGAGAGAAGGAAGUGGGGGCAACACUCAGGUGCAACACACUGAGUCCAUCUAUUCAUAAAGCCUGUUCUUCUCUACCUUCACUGGUGUGUACAGAAUAAAAAAAACCCAAACAACCAAAAACAAAGAAGGAUUGGAAUCAGCAAUAAAAAUAGAAAGAGUUAUAUGUUCUCCUUGGCUUGUGUAGUGUUUCCAUUGGGAAGGGUCCUGCUACCCAUAGCAUACAGGGUCAUCUUAGAGCAUAUGUGGGAUUGAUUUUACUUGAAGAACGGCAAGUACCCUCUCUGCCUCUUCUUCUGCAGUUUCAUACUCAUGCAAGGAGUCACUUGGAGUGAUCGGCUCAGAGCUGGGUGGCUGUACUGGUAGGAAGUGCACGUGUCAGGAGUAAGUAGGAUAUAUGCACCGCAUUUCCCCUAUGUACUGGUUGGUCCAAUUCUACACCUCUGCUUGGCAUCCCUGUGCCCUUCAUGUUGUCUUGUGCUCAUGGUUCUUGUGAUCUAAAUUCUAUUUGUUCAGUAUAUAGCUGGUUAUUUUUUAUUGCAUAUUUAAUUUCCUAUAAAGACACUUUUAUCUCUGCUUAAGUGCCCGAAGCAAUGAGCUCUAUUCAUUAAGCAGUUAACCUGGAGAUCUGGCAAAGGGAGGCAGUUGAAUUUUGAUGGAUAAGUGGGUCUCCUAUUUAUUUAUGUUUGAGAAUAGAUAAACAACUUGUUCUUGUGCUAAUUACCAAUUGUCUGGACGGACAGGCAGGCACUACGCCCUAAAGAUAGAAUGGUGCUGCAGUCUCCAUUUGUGGCAGCUCACUAUAAAUAACAAAAUUAGUAAUGAACACUGAUAUGUUUUGCUAUUCAUCUGCUUAUAUAAAGAAAUGUCACAGGAGAGGGGAACAGUGAGUGCAUCACGUCCUCAAGCAGCCUGUGUCCCUGUCUUCAGCCAGAAGGCUGAAGAAAGAUCUUCUUCAGACCACAGAAGGGCACGAUACAUCACAGUCCUGGCACAGGCAGGGACCAGCACCACUGCUUCAGAAGAAGAGGCAAAAGACUGACAGGUGGCCAUCCUGAAGUCAAAUGGUUACGUAUGUGUCCAGUGCCUCUGGACUUCAGACUCAUGAUAAUCUGUACAGCAAACCUCAUGGUAGAUAAAGCACUGACAUCAAUUCACCACAGGAGUGUAAAGCAGAUAGGUCUUGUCCUUUCCCCCCAUCCUCUUUCUACUGCCUGUUGGGAGAGGAAAAGAAGAAGCACACUGCACUUGUGCGGUAUCUGAUCGCCGUCUGAAAGCUCUUCGGAAUAGCCUCAAUGGUGCGCCAUGCCUACAGUUUAAAGUCAGUUUGCAGGCAGCCCAGAUGGACUGAGGGGAAACAGCGAGAGCUUUCCAAGCGGACCGCAAGCCCCGCGUGCGUUCUCCAGGUGUCCCGAGGAGCGGCGCAGGGCGGCCCGGGGGAGGAUGUGACAGGCUCGGGGGGAGCACUCGCCGGCACGGGAGAGGUACGGCUGGUACGGAGCGAGGCUUCCCCCGCCCCGCGGUACCGAGCGGGUCGGGUCCGAUCGGAGCGGGUCGGGUCGGGUCGGGUCGG